AUUGAACGCUGGCGGCAGGCCUAACACAUGCAAGUCGAGCGGUAGAGAGGUGCUUGCAUCUCUUGAGAGCGGCGGACGGGUGAGUAAUGCCUAGGAAUCUGCCUAGUGGUGGGGGAUAACGUUCGGAAACGGACGCUAAUACCGCAUACGUCCUACGGGAGAAAGCGGGGGAUCUUCGGACCUCGCGCCAUUAGAUGAGCCUAGGUCGGAUUAGCUAGUUGGUGAGGUAAUGGCUCACCAAGGCGACGAUCCGUAACUGGUCUGAGAGGAUGAUCAGUCACACUGGGACUGAGACACGGUCCAGACUCCUACGGGAGGCAGCAGUGGGGAAUAUUGGACAAUGGGCGAAAGCCUGAUCCAGCCAUGCCGCGUGU
rnacentral:rRNA from 1 species